rnacentral:sRNA from 1 species
GUUCGGCGGCGCUCCCAUGGCGCACAUUACCAUUAACCAGUACCUGCAGCAGGUGUACGAAGCCAUCGACACCAGAGAUGGAGCAUCUUGUGCAGAGUUGGUGUCUUUUAAACAUCCUCAUGUUGCAAACCCACGACUUCAAGCCUCUCCAGAGGAGAAGUGUCAACAAGUCUUGGAACCCCCUUAUGAUGAAAUGUUUGCAGCUCAUUUAAGGUGCACUUACGCAGUGGGGAAUCAUGACUUCAUAGAGGCUUACAAGUGCCAGACCGUGAUAGUCCAGUCAUUCUUGCGAGCAUUCCAGGCCCACAAAGAAGAAAACUGGGCUCUGCCUGUCAUGUAUGCAGUAGCGCUUGACCUUCGAGUGUUUGCCAAUAAUGCAGAUCAGCAGUUGGUAAAGAAAGGAAAAAGCAAAGUUGGGGACAUGUUGGAAAAAGCAGCAGAGUUACUGAUGAGCUGUUUCCGGGUCUGUGCCAGUGACACCCGUGCUGGUAUAGAGGACUCUAAGAAGUGGGGCAUGCUGUUUCUGGUGAACCAGCUGUUUAAAAUCUACUUCAAGAUCAACAAACUCCAUUUAUGUAAACCGCUAAUUAGAGCAAUUGACAGCUCAAACCUGAAAGACGAUUACAGCACUGCACAGAGAGUAACAUACAAAUACUACGUUGGACGCAAGGCCAUGUUUGACAGCGACUUUAAGCAAGCUGAGGAGUACCUGUCGUUUGCCUUUGAGCAUUGUCACCGUUCUAGUCAGAAGAACAAAAGGAUGAUUCUGAUCUAUUUGCUUCCAGUAAAAAUGCUAUUGG